rnacentral:rRNA from 1 species
UACGUAGGUGGCAAGCGUUGUCCGGAUUUACUGGGCGUAAAGAGCGCGCAGGCGGUCGUUCAAGUCGCGUGUGAAAGCCCCCGGCUCAACUGGGGAGGGUCACGCGAUACUGAUCGACUCGAAGGCAGGAGAGGGUAGUGGAAUUCCCGGUGUAGUGGUGAAAUGCGCAGAUAUCAGGAGGAACACCGAUGGCGAAGGCAGCUCGCUGGGACGGUACUGACGCUGAGACGCGAAAGCGUGGGGAGCAAACAGG